UAUAAGUACAGAUGCAGAGGGCUGAAAGUUAGAGGUCAGUGUCCAGUUCACGGCAGGGCCAUUGGAGAUGGAGAAGAAUAUCGAACUGGACGUGAACUGAGUGAUCUCACUGUCUGUCAGUCUUCUUAGCUGGUGCAGGAAAGACAUAUGUAAUCAAGUUGUCUCAGUAUUGUGUUAAGUAAAAGUUCUAAUAUAUGGGAGUUGCAAACCAAGAUAUGUCCUAAUUUUAAUCUCCUGAUGUGACUAGAACUUGCAUUUUAAAAUUCAUCCCUUUGGAGAGGAAGUCAACUUGAAGAAGAAUGGCCUCUGUAGCCACCCCAGUGUUGUUGUACGUCAUUUGGGAGCAAAGGCAGACAAUUUUUGGUGUGACUUCCUGAUAAUUGAUGGAUCUACCUCUCUCCCCAACAAAUACAUCUGGCAACCCAUGGAAGGACAUCACCAUUGGGAGAGUU